rnacentral:rRNA from 1 species
GAUUUCUGGUUCGGCGCACUUGACCCGUCGUGGUUUACACGAUUGUUGUGUCGGUGUGCGCCAUCCAUCCUUCGAGUGAAAUACUUCUACUCUUCACUGGGUUGGGAGUAUAUGUAACUCGAUCUUUUACUUUGAAAAAAUUAGAGUGUUUAAAGCAGGCUUUUGCUAUGAAUACAUUAGCAUGGAAUAAUAAUCUAGGACUUCGGUUCUAUUUUGUUGGUUUCUAUAACUGAAGUAAUGAUUGAUAGGGAUAGUUGGGGGUGCUAGUAUUGGCCGGCCAGAGGUGAAAUUCUUGGAUUCGGUCAAGACUAACUUAUGCGAAAGCAUU